AUUAAAGCGAUGAAGGAGCCAAGCAUCAGCCGGCAAACUCUCAGAGAGCCGAUGUUUGCUGCGAAUCGGCAGUUUGCCCGAUGUGGAGCACUCCUGAGCGGUCUGCUGAAAGAAUGAGUAGGCAGAUCCGGAUGAUCCGUUACAUCAUGAGUCCUUUUCGGACUUGAUGAGGCAAUUGGUGCGAACCAAUUGCGAACGAGGGUGGCACCACGGACCUUACGUCCCUCAC
rnacentral:ncRNA from 1 species